CUUUUCUUCAUCCCCGACAAAAAAUGGUUCUUUUGCGUUCUCAGAGACAGCAUCAACGGAGUUUCAAGUUUCCGAUUAACUCUAAUCAUUGUUGAUCUUCAAUCGCGUCUUUUAGUCUUCACUUCUAAUCAACUGAAACGCUUCGAAUUACAGAUUAAUUGUCUUUAUAGCCUUCUUAACUCCAUAAACCGACGUGAACACGAUCUGAAAUUGAAUGCGUCGUAACCCUCUGCAAAGCGGUCUCUACACCUAUAAUAAGAUACGGCCGCUGUUCCUCCACGGUGAAGAGAUGUUGUGGACAGCUUUGUGCUUUUAGGGCUAAAUAAGAGGAGAUAGAGAAGAAGAAGAUGGAGAUUUGGAAAAGAAUUUAUGCUCAACUUUGUUGUAUCGAAGAAGAGACGGAGCGAUUUGUGAGGAACUUGAAGGUUUAGCUGACCCAUGAGAAAAGAAGUUGCUCUGGCCAGUAAAUCCGCUAAAGAGAAUUUCGCUGUCAAAAUGAAAGGCUUCUUCUGGCCCAAAAUCCAGCAAAAUAAGAACUUGCUCUGCGUACUGUCUGAAGCAUAGAACUCGAGACAGACAGACACAUAACCAUUUAAUUAAGACAGGCUAUUUGUUGUUAGUUUACACCCUUUCCUCAUUGGCUUUCUUUUAUUAGUAUUGCUAUAUUUUCACACAUGUAAGUAACAACUUUAGAAUACAAGGUUUGGGGAUAAUCAGUUAAUGACAACAUUGGAUCCUUAUUAAUCUAUUUGUGGCUGUGCAUAUAGAUCAGAAUGGACUCAGGGCUAUGAAGACAAGCGAAUGGGUGUGGUUUGUAUUACAUCUACCAGCUUGAUCUCAAUCAAACUUCUUUCUGUAGAAAUUGAUUUGUUACCCCUUUUUAACUUUGCUGCUUACUAUUUAUAAUUUUGUAUAAUGUGUAGAAAGAUCAGCAAGCCUUUGAGCUAUUAUGGUGAAGGACAAACAAAUAAGCUUUUAUAAAUUACGGUGGUAUACA